rnacentral:rRNA from 1 species
GACGAACCGUGCGAACGUUGUUCGGAUUCACUGGGCUUAAAGGGCGCGUAGGCGGGCAGGCAAGUCAGGGGUGAAAGCCCACGGCUCAACCGUGGAAGUGCCUUUGAUACUGCCGGCCUUGAGGGAGGUAGGGGCGUGCGGAACUUCCGGUGGAGCGGUGAAAUGCGUAGAUAUCGGAAGGAACACCGGUGGCGAAAGCGGCGCGCUGGACCUCUUCUGACGCUGAGGCGCGAAAGCCAGGGGAGCAAACGGG